AUUGAACGCUGGCGGCAGGCUUAACACAUGCAAGUCGAGCGGGGUGAUGGUGCUUGCACUAUCACUUAGCGGCGGACGGGUGAGUAAUGCUUAGGAAUCUGCCUAUUAGUGUGGGACAACAUCCCGAAAGGGAUGCUAAUACCGCAUACGUCCUACGGGAUAACGCAGGGGAUCACUUGGGACCUGGCGCUAAUAGAGUAGCAUACGUCGGAUGAGCAAGUGGGUGGGGUAAAGGCGUACCAAGGCAACGAUCUGAAGCGGGUCUGAGAGGAUGAUCCGCGACACGGGGACUGAGACACGGCCCAGACUCCUACGGGAGGCAGCAGUGGGGAAUAUUGGACAAUGGGGGGAACCCUGAUCCAGCCAUGCCGCGUGUGUGAAGAAGGCCUUAUGGUUGUAAAGCACCUUAAGCGAGGAGGAGGCUCUUUUGGUUAAUACCCAAGAUGAGUGGACGUUACUCGCAGGAUAAGCACCGGCUAACUCUGUGCCAGCCGCCGCCGUAA
rnacentral:rRNA from 1 species